GGGGUUGACUGGAUUUGACAGCAGGAUGAGAUGGUAUGUAAGCACGCGGAGCCUCGUUGGCUAGCUCCUAAAUCUGAGUGAACACAAAUUUAAUUGGCGAAAACAAUUACGCUCUCGCUGCCUAAUCGAAGUUCAGUAGAUUACUGGCUCAAUCCCGUUACUAGGUGAUGGGACGAGACAUCGCUCCAAGGAUGUUGUUCCGAAUCUGAGGAUUUAGCGGUGCAGAAAAAUCGGGAAUAGCCCUUGUAGGCCUCGCUGCAUGGGUGAAAUUUAGAGGCUAAGGUGUAGGUUGGUGGUCCAGGUCUUGCCGACACUCGAAAACCAAAGGCUGGAAUAAGCGUGUAGAAAGCGUAUGAUUUCCCUGUUUGGACGAGGGUUCGAAUCCCUCCAGCUCCACCA
rnacentral:tmRNA from 1 species